rnacentral:rRNA from 1 species
GAUGAACGCUGGCGGCGUGCCUAAUACAUGCAAGUCGAGCGAACAGAUGAGGAGCUUGCUCCUCUGACGUUAGCGGCGGACGGGUGAGUAACACGUGGAUAACCUACCUAUAAGACUGGGAUAACUUCGGGAAACCGGAGCUAAUACCGGAUAAUAUAUUGAACCGCAUGGUUCAAUAGUGAAAGACGGUUUUGCUGUCACUUAUAGAUGGAUCCGCGCCGCAUUAGCUAGUUGGUAAGGUAACGGCUUACCAAGGCAACGAUGCGUAGCCGACCUGAGAGGGUGAUCGGCCACACUGGAACUGAGACACGGUCCAGACUCCUACGGUAGGCAGCAGUAGGGAAUCGUCCGCAAUGGGCGAAAGCCUGACGGAGCAACGCCGCGUGAGUGAUGAAGGUCUUCGGAUCGUAAAACUCUGUUAUGAGUUAAGAACAAAUGUGUAAGUAACUAUGCACGGCGUGACGGUACCUAAUCAGAAAGCCACGGCUAACUACGUG